CUUCCUUGACAGUGGGCAGAGAGACACCUUGUUGGUGGUGUUCUCAUUUCAGUCAGGGCCAGGGCAGAUGGUAGUCCUUUGUUCAUCCUAGCUUGGCGGCCGGCAUGGUGACCAGAGCUGUUGCAUGCCUAGGACUCAAAA